CGACCAGCGCCUUCUUGGCCACAGGCCAGGUGCUCUGUGGGGCCGACCCCACGCCUCUCCGCCGUCCUUCCCCGAACUGGUGGUUACGCGGGCCGCGAGUUACCGUGAGCACGGCUGGGAUGCUGACGGGGAAAGAGCUGACAGAGAAGGCGGACGGCAUGGUGUUGGGAAGCCCGCCCUCACAGCAACCGCCGAACCCGGCCUGGCCAGAAUCCACAGAGGAGGGCGCCAAAUCUUCUCUCGUGAGAUCUGUCAUUCUCACGAAACUUUCUUCCUCUCGCGGUCCCAGCAGGCAGCUGAUUGUUUAGAUGGAGAGACCACAGUGGAGAGUUACCCGUUGCUGUGGGAGCAAUGGGGAGUUAUGGAAGAAAGGAGAGGCACCAAGACCAGAUGAGGACUGAACAUUAGACUUCCCAUGAUUGCAGAACUGUCCUUCGCUGCAGCUGUAAAAUCGCGGCAAGGCAGGAUUCAUCCUGGCGGUGGGUGCAGGCCAUGAUUCCCGUCACUGAGCAGGGUAUACAGCAGGAAGUUCCACCUCUGAGCACAGCAAGGGGAUUCUGAGUGUGUCUGUUCGCUAGAGCGGCGGCCACACUUCCCUGGUUCUGCAAUUGUGGAUAAUUUAGCAUGACUUGCUGGGCAUUGCAAAUGUCAUGUCGUGGAGAAUCUGGGCCCUGUUAUUUUUUCCAACUGUGUGUGUGCGUGUGGUGUGCGAUGAGACCAUUAAGUUGGUUUGACAGAAUGCAAACUAUGCCUGUUGAACAGCAGCUGAAUUCUUAAUUUGGUUCUUUUAUCCUUCUUGUGUUCCGUGGAGUUUGCCUCACACAUUCAGCGUUCAGAUGUCAACUGGAGUUCUGGACAGAAGUUAUACACAGAAUUGGGGUUCUCCAUCUCUGAUUCUCUCCUUCCUUCUCAAUUUUUAGCAGGCAUAGUCCCAAUUUCUUCAGGAGGGAAAGACCAAGGGUUUCCUGUUGGUGUUUUGGCAACUCCACAUUGCAUGGCGUCAGACUCACCCUAAGUUAAAAACCAUAAAAACCCUCUUUCCCUUGGUUUCUUCCACACAUCACACUCCCCUCCCAUAAUCCAUGCUUUUCAUCCCCACUCACUUUUUAUAUUUGCUCAUUAUCUAUAGAUAUCCCCUGCAGGAGAGUGACAUUAGACGGGCUCACUUGGCCACUAUAGGAAGCAGAAAUCCAGAGAUGGACACAUUCCCUAAAUGCUUCUAUGCUGCCCUGUAGGAGAGGUGUUAUUUUACUCAUGUUGCCUUGAAACUGAGGCUCAGAAGUAGCAUCCUUUGCCUGAAAGGACAUAGCUUGUGAACACUGGAAGCAUGGUUUGGUGUCUGACUUGGCCAAUUCCAAAGCUUGUGUGAUUUUCACCAGCACUCAGAUGCAUUCUUCCCUCUCCCUCCCUACCCAAGAAAAAUGCUAUCCCUCCCUUUUCCUCUAAUUAGAAAAUUAUUUUGUCUAUUAGGAAAUAAUCAUUUCUCUCCAAAAGUAACACACUGAGGAGGCAGUAUCUGAGGGUUUUGCACAAAUAUGGCCUUUCAACCUCUGAAUUCAUGCCUCCAGAAAUUCCAGGAUGUUUGUGAUAGCAUUUUUAUUCUAACCCUCCUUAAUGAGUGAUACGGUUUGGCUGUAUCCCACCCAAAUCUCAUCUUGAAUUGUAGCUCCCAUAAUCCCCAUGUGUCAUGGGAGGGACCCCGUGGGUGGUAGUUUAAUCAUGGGAGCAGUUACCCUCAUGCUGUUUUCCUGACAGUGAGUGAGUUCUCAUGAGAUCUGAUGGUUUUAUAAGGGGCUUUUCCCCCUUUUGCUGGGCACUUCUUGCUGCCGCCACAUGAAGAAGGAUGUGUUUGCUUCCCCUUCUGCCAUGAUUGUUAAGUUUC
rnacentral:antisense_RNA from 1 species